rnacentral:rRNA from 1 species
AUGCAUCAGGCAAGGUGGCUCCUCAAGCUCCUCGAACACCGGCUGGCGACACCAGUCGGCAUCAGCAGUCGAAUGACAACAAGCGCAAGGCCACGGCCGGCUUCCACAAGCCGGCAGGUGGCGACAGUUGAAGAUCAACAGCCAGAAGGGCAGCCUCCACCCAAGCGUCAGAAGGGCGGCAAGCCCAACUGGCUGCCGGCUUUCUCAUACGAGCAGACUCUCGAUGCACCCUGCAAGUUCCAUAGCGGCGCAAAGCCAUCCAACCACACCACUCGGAAAUGCCACUGGCUCACCAGGAUCGCCAAGGGUGAUGGACUCCUGCCUCCUCCGCCUGUCGGCCCGCCGCCUCCUCCCCCCCCCCCCAGCAGCCGGCGGCUCGGCCUGUAG